rnacentral:rRNA from 1 species
GACGAACGCUGGCGGCGUGCUUAACACAUGCAAGUCGAACGAGAGGACAAGAGAAGCUUGCUUCUUUUGGAAUCGAGUGGCAAACGGGUGAGUAACACGUAAACAACCUGCCUUCAGGAUGGGGACAACAGACGGAAACGACUGCUAAUACCGAAUACGCUUGGGAGACCGCAUGAUCUACCAAGGAAAGGGUGGCCUCUACCUGUAAGCUAUCGCCUGAAGAGGGGUUUGCGUCUGAUUAGGCAGUUGGUGAGGUAACGGCCCACCAAACCUACGAUCAGUAGCCGGUCUGAGAGGAUGAACGGCCACACUGGAACUGAGACACGGUCCAGACUCCUACGGGAGGCAGCAGUGGGGAAUCUUCCGCAAUGGGCGAAAGCCUGACGGAGCAACGCCGCGUGAGUGAUGACGGCCUCGGUGUAAGACGUCUGUGAUC